ACAGGUGGUGCAUGGUUGUCGUCAGCUCGUGUCGUGAGAUGUGGUUAAGUCCGCAACGAGCGCAACCCUACCGUUUAGUUGCUAACAAGGUGAAGCUGAGCACUCUAGACGAACUGCCGUUGACAAACGGAGGAAGGUGGGAGUGACGUCAAAUCAUCAUGCCCCUUAUGUUCUGGGCUACACACGUGCUACAAUGGCCGGUACAGACGGAGGCGAAGCCGCGAGGCGGAGCAAAUCCGAAAAAGCCGGUCUCAGUUCGGAUUGCAGGCUGCAAUUCGCCUGCAUGAAGUCGGAAUCGCUAGUAAUCGCAGGUCAGCAUACUGCGGUGAAUACGUUCCCGGGCCUU
rnacentral:rRNA from 1 species